rnacentral:rRNA from 1 species
GAUGAACGCUGGCGGCGUGCCUAAUACAUGCAAGUCGAGCGAACAGACGAGGAGCUUGCUCCUCUGACGUUAGCGGCGGACGGGUGAGUAACACGUGGAUAACCUACCUAUAAGACUGGGAUAACUUCGGGAAACCGGAGCUAAUACCGGAUAAUAUAUUGAACCGCAUGGUUCAAUAGUGAAAGACGGUUUUGCUGUCACUUAUAGAUGGAUCCGCGCCGCAUUAGCUAGUUGGUAAGGUAACGGCUUACCAAGGCAACGAUGCGUAUCCGACCUGAGAGGGUGAUCGGCCACACUGGAACUGAGACACGGUCCAGACUCCUACGGGAGGCAGCAGUAGGGAAUCUUCCGCAAUGGGCGAAAGCCUGACGGAGCAACGCCGCGUGAGUGAUGAAGGUCUUCGGAUCGUAAAACUCUGUUAUUAGGGAAGAACAAAUGUGUAAGUAACUAUGCACGUCUUGACGGUACCUAAUCAGAAAGCCACGGCUAACUACGUG